CUAGAGAGAGCAGCUUCCACUUGCAGAUGGUGAUAGUGAGAAUGGCAGUGACAACGAAGAUGAGCAGCCUCAAGUGGUAACACUGAAAAAAGGGGACUUGACUGCGGAAGAAGCAAGGAAAAUUAAACAGCAAUUCAAAGAGGCCUUACAGUCAAAUGAAUCAGAUGGUGAAUCAGAACCUGCUGAUGGAAAAAUUAUGUUCAGGAAACCAGCCAAACGUUCAUCAGAGAAGUUUUUGGACUUCAAUGUAAGUUCAAGUAAGAAGAUGAAAGAGGCAAAGAAAACGAAGAGAGAAGCAACUACUCUUCAGAGUACAGCUAAGCAAAUAAAAAAUAGCAGUCUCCUCUCGUUUGAUGAUGAGGAAAAUGAUGAUUAGGAGUUGUAUUUUUUUGUAUUUUACUUACCCUUCUAGGGAUCUGAGUAAGAUUGAGUGUUUUCUUAGAAAUUGAAGUAUGGUAUCUGAGUCUUCUCUUACUUCGUUAUAGUCCAACUAGAGAAACAUAGUAUAAAACUAGCAAGAGCUAAGUCUUUGCUGUUCAGAUGGAACUGUAUGAACAGUAUGUCAUGUCUUUAUUUUAAGAGAAUUUAACCAUGUAUGUAAAAGCUAUUUGAGGUCACAAACGAGUAGCAAAAUAUACCUGUACGUAUCCAGCUUAUAUAAUUUUCAAUCAAUACAUUUUAAAAUGUCCUCCAUUACUAAAAAUGCAUUUCCUCUCUAUUUACUGACCUUAGUUGACAGUUGUGUGUUUUUUACCUGUUAUUGUUGACUUGACAUUCAAAAGAGAGAGACUUCGUUGCUGUGGAACAGAGACUGAACUUUUCUGUCUCAUAGCUUAACAAAAGUUUGCACUAACUUUUGCAUGUGUGGUUUGGCAGAUUAGCUCUUUGCAGAGCCCUUGCAGUAAGUGAGCCUGCAGUUGCUAAAAUCAUGUAGCCUUAAUCCUGUCUUUGGUGAAUGCAGUCUAAGAAGCAUCACAUUCAUUUGGAUUGAUUGUGCUAGCAAGAUACGAAAAUUUUGAUUGUAGUUGAUGGUAUCAAUUAAUGCAAAAGAAAGAUGCCUAAACCCUUGGAGAUUGUGCACUUUGGUUAUCACACUGAUGGGCUCACUGGUUUGGUGGUGGGAGUUCUUUUAAGUAUAUUUGUUCCAGUUGGCUACAUGUGUGUUCAUAAUUAUUUGGGAUCUCAAACAGCUUAUUUAAAAAAAUGUAUUUCAUCUUUAAGCUGUGGAAAAGCAUUAUUUCGGUUUUCUUCAAGUAGGACAUUGUAAACAGGAAAUUUAAGUCAAGAAAUGUUAUAGCUGUGAUAGACAGUUUUAAAAUUUUUCAGUUGCCCAUGCACAGUACACUGAAAGUGACCAUUUCUGUACCAUUUAUGUAACAGGAUGUGCUGAAAUUCAAAAUAACACUGAGAGAUGAUGGAAUUGGGGAGAACAAGGUGGUGGAAAUGGGACUAGUGACUUUGAAAUUAUUUGGAAGUGUGGUGUAUUCUGUAACCAUACUUAAACAAGACCUGAGACUGCUGCAGAAUUACAGGGUACAAGGCAAUGAAACCAGUUCUGCUGCUGCGUGACAGGACAUUCAAAAUUACUUGGGCUGUAAAGCUUCAUUGAGGAGCAAAUUUGAAGUUGCUGUGUGAAACAGCUGGUUUUAGUUUGUUAAUCUGGUAUUAAACAAUAAAUUAUGUUUUCUGUAAAUGGUCCAAAGAUAUUUUAAUGAAAAUUUCAGUGCAUAAAAUGGGAUUUUUUUGUCACCUGAUGAUGAAGCCUCUUAUGACUGCUACCUGUCUCCAUACAUACCAACUUCCUGCAGCAUAAGAUCAGAUGCAAGUCUGCAUACUAUUUCACACUAAUUAUGUGAGUGCAUGUUACCCUGAUUUUGAAAAUGAAUAGAUCUGUUGUCCUUUCAGAAAAUUAAAAUCAGACCUACAAAUGGAUAUUAAAGUCAUGUUGUAGCACUGGUCUGAUAUUAGAACUGCCAGAGAGGUGCAGUGUGACAGCCUGAUUAUUCCUGUGAGGACAUGUUACAUUUGUAAAUACAUCAUUUGUCUGUAUUCUGCAUAUAUAAAAAAGAAAAUCAAAUGUAGGAAGAAGAAAUACAGAAUCAAAUGUUCCCAGGGAUUAAUCGUUCCAUUUAUUUUGUAUACUUAAAACUUGUUUGAAUCCAUUAAAAAAUAUGUAUAUACACCCAUGAGAAAUCUUGUAGCAUUAUGGUAUACUGAAGGAAUAUUUGGGCAUAUUUCAACAACUGAGUAAACACUCUGACUUGCUGAGACUCAUUUGAAAGAAUGAAUUAACCAUUGACUGCUUACUUAAACUUUUCUGGUUCUGUUUGUCAGCACAAAAAUAUAUUUGCUUACGUUUUUCUUGCACAGCCUGAAAGCUUUUCACUUUAGCUGUGAGGCAGUUUAGGAGACAUGGCUAUCAAGAGAGAAAUGCUUGCCAAGGAUCAGAGGGAAUUUGGAUUUACCUUAAAAUUAGAGGGGGCCUCCCAAAUAUGCAGUUGAUUUGGCAUGUUCAAAAUAAGAUUGAGGUCUUGUUUGAAUCUGGUUAGUAAUUGCAUUUAAACAAAAAAUACUAUUUCUAGUGAAAGACUUGUGAGACUGAAGUCCAGUAAAAAGAGGGUUACCUCAAAACAUUGGGUGCAGUACUUUUGCUUAAUCAUGCUCCUUGCCCUACAACUUCAUGACAGAUGUCUGGAAUGCAAAUAAAUUAAUUGGGUUUACUUGGAGAUAAGAUAAUGAAAGGCAUGUUGUUCUUCAGGCAACACACUAGGGGAAAGAAAGGUGGAUACAGAAACCCAGUUUCUUUCCUUUAUUGUGACUUUGAUUUGUAGUGCUCUGACCAGGAGGAGACCUUUGUAUUCAUUGUAUUUCACUCCCAGUUCACUUAACAAUAACUAAUUGGAUAUAUUUAUUAAGAGGUGUGAGUGAUGCACAAAAGCAUUUUAGUCAAGUAGUCAUGUGAAAAUUCAGUGUUCCUAAUGUGACACACCAGGAAAAUUACACAUGCCAUCAACUCCCUAUGAAACCUGUGACUAAAGAGAACAAUUACUUGUUCAUUUAGGAAAGAAAUGUGAAACUGUCUUAAGCAAUGACCUGCCUUAAGCAAUGGGUCAUGGAAAAAUAAUCUCAAGAACUUUCUAAUACAGGGGAAGCCAAAGUGAGCACAUGGAACAUGGGGCUAGGACUGGAAUGGACAAUUUUCCUGGCUUUUUCUUUCUCUCUCUCUUCCUUGCCCCCAUCCCCACUCCUUUUCCCCUCCUGUAUUGGGAAAUGUAUAUGUAUCUUUUUUUUUUUCUUGUGGUGUUUGCUCAGCUAAGCAUGAGAGAAGCGCUGUGGAGGAGCAAGGUGAAAGUAGCUGUGGCCUGUUACCUAAUAUGGGAAUCUUGUACAGUUUUUAUUAAUACAAUCUUUGACAUUUCCCAGUUCAUUAAGACUCCAAAACAUUUAUUGAUGGUGGUGGUAGUUCUCGCUCUUCUUAGCUGAGCAAUAAGCCAGAACAAACCUGGUGAACUGUAGUAGCAUUGCAGCAAUGGUUGCUUAUGGUGGAGGCUUUUUAUGUUGCAAAGGUGCUUGGAUGUCAUCAGGAAAGGUGAGAUGCUCUGUCACCUUUCUUUCUUUUGAAGAAACAGGAUCUUUCUCUAGGUGUUAGGAAUCAAGGUGAAUCAUCAAGAAUGCUGCAUUAUUGAGGUAGAAAUUGCAAAGACAUGGGACAGAAUGAGCAAGAAAAUGCACGUGUGGGAAGGUGGUCCAGGAGUUCCUACCCUCGCUUAUAUUUCUAGCCUGUCUGAUAAGGUUAAUUUUUCUCAAAUAAAAACAAAUUUGUUGGACUGCAAAUGGUCAUUUCAUUGGCCUAAACAGGAAGGUCAGAAUUCUAUUCUGAUAGUUUUUAUGUCCGGCACUUUUCCAGGAAAUAUCAUUUGGAGGAUCAAAGGCUGUGUUUUGCAGACACUGAAUGCAAGAAGCCUGUAUUUAGCUGUUUUAAUUACACCUUUUUUUAAGUUUCGUCACAG